AGCGAACGCUGGCGGCAGGCCUAACACAUGCAAGUCGAACGAACUCUUCGGAGUUAGUGGCGGACGGGUGAGUAACACGUGGGAACGUGCCUUUUGGUUCGGAAUAACUCAGGGAAACUUGUGCUAAUACCGAAUGUGCCCUUAGGGGGAAAGAUUUAUCGCCAUUAGAGCGGCCCGCGUCUGAUUAGCUAGUUGGUGAGGUAACGGCUCACCAAGGCGACGAUCAGUAGCUGGUCUGAGAGGAUGACCAGCCACACUGGGACUGAGACACGGCCCAGACUCCUACGGGAGGCAGCAGUGGGGAAUCUUGCGCAAUGGGCGAAAGCCUGACGCAGCCAUGCCGCGUGAAUGAUGAAGGUCUUAGGAUUGUAAAAUUCUUUCACCGGGGACGAUAAUGACGGUACCCGGAGAAGAAGCCCCGGCUAACUUCGUG
rnacentral:rRNA from 1 species